GACAGGGAGAGGAAAGCUGAGAAAAGCAUUUAGGACACUCAUCAGUCGUGAAGGAACAGAAGUCAAUGGAUGAUGACUCUAUGGUUUCUGACUUGUGGUGACAGGGAAUUCAGAAGAGAAUAUAAAAUCAGUUGUAUGUGUUGGGAUGGGGGGGAAGGGGAGCAAUGAUAAUUAAACUCUGAUCGCAUUGAGAUCACAAUGCCCUGGAACCAUGGGGUGAAUGCAUCCGAGGUAAUUGGAAAAACGGGGCUGGAAAGUUCAGGAAAGAGCCUGGGCUCAUUCAUGGGGGAGCUUCAUCUGUUUAGAAGUGGUCACUGACAAGAUGCACAGAGGUGAAGGGAGACGGCCAUCUGUAUCCUAACCCAGAAGUCAGGCACCUCUGAGUCAAGUCAAGAAGAAAGCAAGCUACAAACACCAGCUAUACUUUGGACAGAGAAAAUAGGACUUGGUGACUCAAAUGACAGACCUGAAAAAGAACUCAAAGUCAGCUCCAAAGCUUUGAACCUAAAUGUCUGAAAAAAUAGUGGCACCGUUAAUGAAAUUACCCAAAUUCAACUUCCAUGAAGUGACUGAAAAUAUUGGGGGUGGACAAAGAAAGGUGACAGGCAUGGCAAGAAAGACAUCUAAUAAAAGUAUUCUUUGGGGCACCUAGUUGGCUCAGACUGUAGACCAGAAGCCAAACUUCCUUCCUGAAAAGGUGGGCAUCAAGUGUAGAAGAUAAACUUUAAUCCAAGAACAUGCAGUACAUUUGUCACGAGGACGUGCAGCAGAGAUGAAAAGGCUGACAAGGCAGAGUUAGACUACUAGAAUGUAUCAGUGUCCCUCUAUCUCCAGUGCUGAUCAAGGGAAAGGAUGCGUUCACUGAUUCCAUGGAAGUUUCCCAGUCUGGCCGGCAGAUAAACCCCUGAAAAGCAGAAUGCCCUACAAGGCAACAUUCAUUCAGAAUCGGAUGAAGAAAGCAUGGCACAAUUGUGACUUUAAAAAAGGAGUGGCUGCAGGGCGCAUGGAUGGCUCAGUUGGCUGAACGUCUGACGUCGGUUCAGGUCACGAUCUCAUGGUCCGGAGUUCGAGCCCCACAUGGGGUUCUUUGCUGACCGCUCAGAGCCUGGAGCCUGCUUCAGAUUCUGUGUCUCUGUCUCUCUCUGCCCCUCCCCCAUUCAUGCUCUGUCUUGCUCUCAAAAAAAUGAAUAAACAUUAAAAAUAAACAAAAAUAAAAAAGGAGUGGCUUAGUAAGGAUACUGAUACUUAACAGGACUUAGUAACUAAGUGGCUCUAUAAGUUAAAGAUGGAGGACAAAAUAAAAUCAAGCCCAGCUACCACUUAAAGGACAAACUGAGGAUUAAGAAUUAAUUUAGGGGGGCCACCUGGGUGGCUCAGUCAGGUAAGCAUCUGACUUCAGCUCAGGUCAUGAUCUCGCAGUCCAUGGGUUCGAGCCCUGCAUCGGGCUCUGU